GGCGAAUGAACAGGGAAAAGCCCAGCACCGAAGCCUGUGGCCAAUUGGUUACUAGGCAAUGUGGUGUUCAGGUCGUUCCGCAGAGGCGCUGCCCCAUCCUAAGUCCACCAUUGAAUAUGGCUUUGGACGUGGCCCAUUGAGGGUGUAAGGCCCGUGGGGGUGGGGGUUCGUUUGGCCAGUGUCUCUCUGGGUAGACCUUGGAGUCGGGUUGUUUGUGAAUGCAGCCCAAAGUGGGUGGUAAACUCCAUCCAAGGCUAAAUACUUGCACGAGUCCGAUAGCGAACAAGUACCGUGAGGGAAAGUUGAAAAGUACUUUGAAGAGAGAGUAAACAGUGCGUGAAACCGCUCAGAGGUAAACGGGUGGAGUUGAACUGCAAUCUCUGUGAAUUCAGCUGGUGAGUCUGGUUGGGCUUGGCUAAGUCUAUCGAUCUCCGUGGUCUGACUAUUAUUAGGUCUUCGUCUUCGGGCGGGGAUGCGCGAUGCUCCUACCAUGUGCUGCGCGCCGCGGAGUUUCGGGUUAGCUUGCCAGUGCACUUUUGCAGAGUGUUCACCACGACCGGCAUCGCUGUCUGACUGUUUUGGUUAAACCUUCCUUGAAUUGUCCUUGUGGCUUUGCAUGGUUGGGAUGGCAGGUAGCUCGUUGGUGAUUGUGGCUUGCUGCAGUUGUCUUCGGGUGUUAUCGCUGACCAUUAUGGUUCUGUGCAGUAUGUCGGAGACGGCGGCUAGUUGUGUGUGCGUGCGUACCGAUCGCAUGGGCAUGCUCGAGUCUGAUUGUCAUGUCGCUCGCACAAAGCGGGCCGGGCAGUGGCUUGGGUGUGUUCUGUGUGUGGUUGCGUGCGUGUCACUUUACAGGGCCAAUAGUCUGUGGUGUAGUGGUAGAUUAUCCACCUGACCCGUCUUGAAACACGGACCAAGGAGAGUAACAUGUGCGCGAGUCAUUGGGCGUAACGAAACCCACAGGCGCAGUGAAAGUAAAGGCUUGGCUUGUCCUUGCUGAGGUGAGAUCCUGCUGUUUCCUCGCGCGGUUCUACCAAGCUUCGAGCAGUAGGCGCAUCACCGGCCCGUCUCAUGACGUGGACACAUUCUCCUCGGAGUUGUGCACCGUCGGGGCGGAGCAUGAGCGUACAUGUUGAGACCCGAAAGAUGGUGAACUAUGCUUGUGCAGGUUGAAGCCAGAGGAAACUCUGGUGGAGGACCGCAGCGAUUCUGACGUGCAAAUCGAUCGUCAAACAUGAGUAUAGGGGCGAAAGACUAAUCGAACCAUCUAGUAGCUGGUUCCCUCCGAAGUUUCC
rnacentral:rRNA from 1 species